CCUACUUACUGUAAGCCCACAUUUUAUCAGCCAAAUAUCUUUAAAGCAUCACAAAUAAAAGUACAUCAAAAUAUCACAAAUAAAAGUACAUUUAAUUUAAAAUGGGCCUUUGUGACCCACAUGUGACGUUAUUAAAUUGUGUCACUUCCCAACAUUUGUAAUCAGAGCAAACAGAAGCCGACAUCCGAGUAGUAAAAAUAUAGAAAAGUGUGUUUGUGGAUCAAUUCUCUGCAUGGACGUGAUAAUUAUUUAAUGUGAGCAAACAGCAGGCGGCCCUCACAGGUGAUUAGAGCUCAUUAAGGAAGUCAGACCCAAUAAUUUCAUUAAGAUUUCAGGGAGCGAACAAACAGGGAAGUCAGGUCUUUGACUCGAUGUGUGGACACGGUAAAUAAUCGAAGCAGUAAAAUGAGAGGGAAGUCUGUCGCAGGUUCGAUACCCGAGCCGGUACAAAAGGAGGCGACUCGGACCCAAACGUCCAGUCUACUGGUCUCUCUGAGCAGGAUCCAUCCAGGAAAUCAUCAUCAUCCUCAUCUUCAUCGUCCUCAUGAUGCCGUCCAUCAGUGUGACUCAGUUGUUCCUGCUGUUGGCCCUCCUUCACUUUGCCACAUCACUUCCUGUCAGGGAUGAAGACGAGUUGGAGAGUUUCCUGACUCAGAGCAGAACCCUGAACGCACCGUGGUCUCUGUCGGGGAUGAGCUCUGCAGACUCUCUGCUCGAGGCCAG